AUAAAGUGGCGAACGGCUGAGUAACGCGUGGGCAACCUGCCCUUUGCACUGGGAUAGCCUCGGGAAACCGAGGUUAAUACCGGAUACUCCAUAUUUGUCGCAUGGCGAAUAUGGGAAAGCUCCGGCGGCAAAGGAUGGGCCCGCGGCCUGUUAGCUAGUUGGUGGGGUAGUGGCCUACCAAGGCAAUGAUGGGUAGCCGGGUUGAGAGACCGACCGGCCAGAUUGGGACUGAGACACGGCCCAGACUCCUACGGGAGGCAGCAGAC
rnacentral:rRNA from 1 species